rnacentral:rRNA from 1 species
AUUGAACGCUGGCGGCAGGCCUAACACAUGCAAGUCGAGCGGAUGAGUGGAGCUUGCUCCAUGAUUCAGCGGCGGACGGGUGAGUAAUGCCUAGGAAUCUGCCUGGUAGUGGGGGACAACGUAUCGAAAGGAACGCUAAUACCGCAUACGUCCUACGGGAGAAAGCAGGGGACCUUCGGGCCUUGCGCUAUCAGAUGAGCCUAGGUCGGAUUAGCUAGUAGGUGAGGUAAAGGCUCACCUAGGCAACGAUCCGUAACUGGUCUGAGAGGAUGAUCAGUCACACUGGAACUGAGACACGGUCCAGACUCCUACGGGAGGCAGCAGUGGGGAAUAUUGGACAAUGGGCGAAAGCCUGAUCCAGCCACGCCGCGUGUGUGAAGAAGGUCUUCAGAUUGUAAAGCACUUUAAGUUGGGAGGAAGGGCAGUAAGUUAAUACCUUGCUGUUUUGACGUUACCAACAGAAUAAGCACCGGCUAACUUCGUGCCAGCCGCCGCCGUAA